GAUGAACGCUAGCGACAGGCUUAACACAUGCAAGUCGAGGGGCUGCACAAAGAUAGCUUGCUAUUUUGGUGGCGACCGGCGCACGGGUGAGUAACGCGUAUGCAACCUGGCUACAACAGGGGGAUAACCCUGAGAAAUUCGGACUAAUACCGCAUAAAACAGGGGUACUGCAUGGUACUAUUUGUUAAAGAUUUAUCGGUUGUAGAUGGGCAUGCGUCUGAUUAGUUUGUUGGUGAGGUAACGGCUCACCAAGACUACGAUACAUAGGGGGACUGAGAGGUUAACCCCCCACACUGGUACUGAGACACGGACCAGACUCCUACGGGAGGCAGCAGUGAGGAAUAUUGGUCAAUGGGGGCAACCCUGAACCAGCCAUGCCGCGUGCAGGAUGACGGCGCUAUGCGUUGUAAACUGCUUUUAUACGAGGGUAAACCCAGGUACGUGUACCUGGCUGAAAGUAUCGUAUGAAUAAGGAUCGGCUAACUCCGUGCCAGCAGCCGCGGUAAUACGGAGGAUCCGAGCGUUAUCCGGAUUUAUUGGGUUUAAAGGGUGCGUAGGCGGUUCGGUAAGUUAGAGGUGAAAGCCCGUUGCUCAACAACGGAACUGCCUCUGAUACUGUCGGGCUAGAGGAUGGUUGCCGUAGGCGGAAUGUGUGGUGUAGCGGUGAAAUGCUUAGAGAUCACACAGAACACCGAUUGCGAAGGCAGCUUACGAAGCCAUAUCUGACGCUGAUGCACGAAAGCGUGGGGAGCAAACAGGAUUAGAUACCCUGGUAGUCCACGCCGUAAACGAUGAUAGCUCGUUGCCGGAGAUAUACUUUCGGUGACUUAGCGAAAGCGUUAAGCUAUCCACCUGGGGAGUACGUUCGCAAGAAUGAAACUCAAAUGAAUUGACGG
rnacentral:rRNA from 1 species